rnacentral:rRNA from 1 species
ACGAACGCUGGCGGCGUGCUUAACACAUGCCAGUCGAACGGAAAGGCCCUGCUUUUGUGGGGUGCUCGAGUGGCGAACGGGUGAGUAACACGUGAGUAACCUGCCCUUGACUUUGGGAUAACUUCAGGAAACUGGGGCUAAUACCGGAUAGGAGCUCCUGCUGCAUGGUGGGGGUUGGAAAGUUUCGGCGGUUGGGGAUGGACUCGCGGCUUAUCAGCUUGUUGGUGGGGUAGUGGCUUACCAAGGCUUUGACGGGUAGCCGGCCUGAGAGGGUGACCGGCCACAUUGGGACUGAGAUACGGCCCAGACUCCUACGGGAGGCAGCAGUGGGGAAUAUUGCACAAUGGGCGGAAGCCUGAUGCUGCAACGCCGCGUGCGGGGUGACGGCCUUCGGGUUGUAAACCGCUUUCGCCUGUGACGAAGCGUGAGUGACGGUAAUGGGUAAAGAAGCACCGGCUAACUACGUG